GCCCCUGCGGCGCCACGAGAGCUUAAACCUCGCGAGAGCCUGAGGGCGGGGCGGGGCCGGAGAGCGCGGGGCGGGGCCAGGCACCUCGUGGCCGCGCUUCCCCCGUUGUUGUGGAAACCGGCGGUUGGGCGAGGUCUCGUCGCGUCUCCCUGUUGCCGUGACAACGUCCACCUACUGUGGUCCCCGAUCCCGGCCGCUGGUCUCUGGGGCUCGGCAGUGACGCGCCGCCCAUGCCCGGGCGCCCUUGGUCGGGAACCCACCGUAUAUCCGAGGCCAUCGCGCGCUUUCGUCCAGCAGCAUGUCCAGACCUGCGCGGUGGAGCAGCGGUUGCCCUGCCUUCCCGCACUCCCCCUCGGGGACAGGCAGGACCCGGGCUCCAGGAAAGGGAGGGCACUGCGGGAAGGCUGGGGGCCUCCAGGUGUAGCCCUUCACCCCUACCCUGGCCCACACACAUGGGCUGGGUGGGCCUUCCAGGCUGACCUCUGUGCUCCCCCUUGUCCAAACGACAAGGAUUUAUUAGGCACCUAUGUUCAGAAACUGCCAGCCACAGAAGCUAGGAGCAUGGCAGCCAAAGUCCUCACGAAUCUGCUGUCAGUCCUCAGUGAUGAUAGAGGCGUAAGGACCUCGGAAAAUCUGCCUCUCCUCUCGCCUUUCAUAAGAGCAAGGAAAAAACUAGCAAAAUGGUCAGAAUCAACUUUUUCAGAACUUUGGAAAUUAACCAAAGCGGCGCACACGUACUUCUGGAUCCAUCCAGCUGGCCACCGCCCAGGACAGCCCCUCCCGUCCCGGUUGGAGCUGGAUCAGAGGGAUAGAACCCUGAAUGACAAAGGCUUAAGCAAGGACCCAUCAGCUCCAAGUCAAGUCGUGGUCUCAAUCUAGUUGUGGAGGGCGCAACUCAAGUGGCCCAUGCAGGGAUCGAACCAGCAACCUUGUUAAGAGCACCGCGCUCCAACCAACUGAGCUAACCGGCCACCUCCCUCUUUCAGCUCUUGUCCCCAUUUGUAUGUCCUGUGAUUUAAUGUAUUUUCAUGACUGUGUU